rnacentral:rRNA from 1 species
GGACGGGUGAGUAACGCGUGGGUAACCUACCCCAAAGUCCGGGAUAACAGCGGGAAACCGCUGCUAAUACCGGAUGCCUUUACCUUGGGGCAUCUUGAGGUAAAGAAAGGUAACGCUUUGGGAUGGGCCCGCGUCCCAUUAGCUAGUUGGUGAGGUAACGGCUCACCAAGGCGACGAUGGGUAGCCGGCCUGAGAGGGUGGACGGCCACACUGGGACUGAGACACGGCCCAGACUCCUACGGGAGGCAGCAGUAGGGAAUAUUGCGCAAUGGACGGAAGUCUGACGCAGCGACGCCGCGUGAGCGAUGAAGGUCUUCGGAUCGUAAAGCUCUGUCCUUGGGGAANAAGGUCUUCGGACUUGACGGUACCCAAGAAGAAAGCCCCGGCUAACUACGUGCCAGCAGCCGCGGUAAUACGUAGGGGGCGAGCGUUGUCCGGAAUUACUGGGCGUAAAG